GACCAGGACCCUGGGGUGGAGGAGUGGGGAGAUUAUGGUUUAAAGCAUUGAGUCAGAUGGCAGGCCUCAGAAUCUCCCUCUGCUGCGUCCUCAGUGAGAGCCCUUCAAGGUGUCCCCACACAGGCAGGAGACAGAAAAGCCCACAUUGGCACCUAGGCUCUGCCUUUGCCUGCUGUUUGAGAGGCAGGAACUCGAGGCAGGUCUGGAUUGUUUACAUCCACCCAGGGCUCUAAAAUAAAGUGGGAGCUGGGCAUCUCAAACAGGGUCGAAGAAGUUGGCAGAUUUAAGAAAAGGAGGCACUGGUCCAUUCCCCAGAUAAUGCAGACAUGAGUUCAGAUGCCCAGCCACCCCAGUUCUCAUGCAAACAGGAAACCCCCACCCCCACCCCCACCCCCACUCCCACCCCGGGCAAAGUGUCUGGAAAACAGAAGCAAACACUGACAUCCUGGGAGCUGGUGAGGAAAGGAGCGAGAGGACAUAGAGAACUGGCCGAAGAAAAGAGACAGGGAGAAGUGGGGCCAGCUGACUACCGCACAGCCUUCCUCCCAAGGCUCCUUCUGGCGUGCCUGGAGCAAUUUCAAAUGCCUUUACUUUCUCAGAAACUGACUUCCUCCUAGGACCCACACAAGUGGCCCUCCCCUUGGGGUUUCUGCAGUGUGUUCAGGUCUCACCCCACCCCCAUUUCAGCUGGCUUAACCACCAGACCUGUCAAGGUCUUGGCCUUGGGGAGCCUCCCACCCUUGCAAGGAGGCUUCAGUAAUGACACCAAGUGGAGGAUGGGAAGGGGGCAGAAGGGAUGGGCCUCGGCUCUCUCUCACUUCACUUUUUCUGUAGCGUUAUUGACCCGUCAUUAGUUAUCCGUCCAAGGUCGCCAGGUCUGGCCCAGCCAUAAAUCACCGCCGCUGGGGGGGGGGGGGGGGCGGGGGCGGGGGGGGGGGAGAAGUUGGGGGACUAGAGGAGCGAAGGAGUCAGUGCUGAACGCGGCCCGGAAGGGUAGCAGCAGACGUCCCUCAGGCUCAUAGGGACCCGCCCCAGCCCUUGUGACCGUCCUUCUCGGCUCCCUCCCAACCCCGGGCUGCCCAGCGUGCCUGUCCCUCGGCCACUCUCUCCUGUCUCCGUCCAUCUCUUUCACCGCUGAAGUGUGUUUAGAUGGCUGCGCCAAGAAAAGGGUAACCAGAUUGUCCUCGGUCAUCUCCCUCAUAGCUCUUCCAGGUUAUAGCUUCCAUCAACAAGAACAGAAAUCCUGAAGGGGAAACUGAGGCACGGAGUCCUGACCCGAGAUGAGUCUGAGAAGAAGUCUCACCCGAUUCUCUCCUCGGUCACUUCAGUCCCUCCCUACUCCAGACGGAUGCUGCAAGGGUCUCUCCGCCCUCAGAAGGGAGUGGAUCUGCGUCUGCACCGGGCGGGACCUGCACUCGAGGAGCCGGACCCUUUCCCUAGCGCCCGGGUCCUAGAGGAGCGUGGCUUGGCCCUCCUCUCAAGAGCUCGCCCGGCUUAGCAGCGGACCUCUUCGCCGGUCCUCGCGCACCCUCUGCCGGCGCCUCUCAGGAAACGCGCUCGCUGUCCCCGCCCUGGAUAUUCCCGUCCCGUAGGACAGACGGAGGGCAGCCGGGAGCUCUGCAUGCCCCUGCUUUUGGAACACUCCUUGCACCAAGAUUCCAGAAAAUUCCUUUGUCUAUUCAAAACUGGAGGAGCGAGGACAAGAGAGCUGAACUUGAGGCAGGCCAGGCUCGGAGCAUAUGGGUCAGUCAUCCAUCACCUGCCACCUCCCUAGAGACCUUGGCAGGCCAGGCAGCUGGGGCUACCAUAGUGAAACCCAGUCUCAAAGCCAAACUGAACCCUGGUUUCAGGGCAGUCAGCGUCAACUCUCUCUGCAGAUUUGAGGGACGAGAGGAAAGGAGGGGAGACAAAAGGCUCAGUGAGAUCUGUGCGGAGCGGAACAAGGGAAUCAGCUGGGCGGAAUCACGGAGACCUGAGUGACAUUCAUCUCUGACACAUGUUGCAUGACUUGGGACAAUAAAAAGAACCUCUCUGGGA